AUCCGAGUGCUGAAAUAGGUAGACAGUCUUAACUUAAAAUUAAGUGGUGAAAACCGUGUACGUUCGAAUCGUUCCUCGGAUA